UGCAUCUAUCUAUUCGUCGUUCUUAUCCGGAUACUAACCAAAACGGUUCUAUUUUCUCGACCUACCGUUCUGCCCGGCCACACUUCCCUCAACAACUGGAGACGGCGGAUCGGCGUCGUCGUCGUGACUCUCACCGGCUGGACGGCGAAGCGUCGUCAUGAUUAUUCUUCUGCCACAUCUGAGGCAGUGAAACCACGGCUGGCCGACGUCGUCCUGAGUACCACGCAAGUCAAGGUUACGAGCAACGGCAGGGAGUAGUGCGUUGAAGCGACACGACAUGCACAAAGUUGAUCGAUGUUCGCCGGCGACUUGCGGGUGACUGUACCGCGACGGAGACGGCAACCAGUGUUGUUCCUGAACAUGCGACAUUACUCACUGCCAUCAACGAUGAUGACGAGCCAAACCUUGCAACGUUGUCGAUCGCCGUCGAUGGUAGCGGCGCCCGCGUGCACGACCCAUGCUCACGAACUGCUAGAUCCAAUAAUGGCGGUUGUAUGAUGCAUGAUAUUCUUUUGGACUUGAGAGAAAUCUACGGUUACAUUCCUACCAAAAGAACGAUGUAGUUUUUGGGUCUCUCAUCCACAUCCACCUAGGCAAUAUUUGAGGAUCAAUCACAGACUGGAGUUCAUGAAUUUAUCAACGAAGAAGUUUAUUUUUUGAUACA